GAUGAACGCUGGCGGCGUGCUUAACACAUGCAAGUCGAACGGAAAGGCCCAAGCUUGCUUGGGUACUCGAGUGGCGAACGGGUGAGUAACGCGUGGGUGAUCUGCCCUGCACUUCGGGAUAAGCCUGGGAAACUGGGUCUAAUACCGGAUAGGACGAUGGUUUGGAUGCCAUUGUGGAAAGUUUUUUCGGUGUGGGAUGAGCUCGCGGCCUAUCAGCUUGUUGGUGGGGUAAUGGCCUACCAAGGCGUCGACGGGUAGCCGGCCUGAGAGGGUGUACGGCCACAUUGGGACUGGGAUACGGCCCAGACUCCUACGGGAGGCAGCAGUGGGGAAUUUUGCACAAUGGGCGCAGGCCUGAUGCAGCGACGCCGCGUGGGGGAUGACGGCCUUCGGGUUGUAAACUCUUUCGCUAGGGACGAAGCGUUUUUGUGACGGUACCUGGAGAAGAAGCACCGGCUAACUACGUG
rnacentral:rRNA from 1 species